UAUAUUUCCCUACCGGGAAAAAUUCGCAUCGAACAAUCAACAAAACAGCGAGAUUAUGUUGACUGGAAAUAUCAAGAAUUGCGCUCGCUGUGCUAUCCAGCACAGCCUAGAGAAAUUACCCAUAUACUUUCGACGGGGAAACAACACACAUCAGUGUUCUUUCUCUUGCGGCAGUACUUCAGAUCGUGGAGAUCGAUAUUUUAUGAAGGAAGAAUCAAAAUCUUUCCUCGUGAUUUACCGGUUACGCCACUGUCUUUAGCUGUUUGGUAUAUGGAUGACGGUUGUUGGACAGGAAAGAAAGCUCUGAUUUGCGCGGAAAGUUUUGAUGGAAUAUAUCGGGAAAAUAUGCAAAAAGCGUUUAUUGACCAAUACGGGAUUGAAACCGUUGUUGGCAAGAAUGGAAGACUUGUCAUUCGAAAGAAAUUUCAUGAUCAGUUUUUCUCGCUUAUUGCCCCGCACAUUAUUUCUUCAAUGAAGUACAAACUUCCAUAACCCCGUAACGACUUGUCCCUUGCGGGACAGAGUUAUCGCUUCGAGCAAUAGCUAAAACGCUGGCCCCUCAUCCGCUUAUCGCGGAAAGGGUGAAGGUAUAGUCUAAUUCUACAGAAAUGUAAGAAGCUAAUGGAAUCGUUCCCUUCAGUGGGGUAACGAACGCAACCCUCGUUGCCUGUUACAAGUGUCAGGCGAGACUGCCCCCUCACGGGGGAGGAAGGUGAGGAUGACACCCGACCUCAUGAAGCCGGAAUCGCUAGUAAUCGCGGAUCAGCCACGCCGCGGUGAAUACGUUCUCAAGCCUUGUACUCACCGCCCGUCAACUCAGGGAAGUUGGGAGUGCCCGAAGCCCGCCCUCGCGGCGGUUCAAGGCAAACUCAAUGACAAAGAGUAAGUCGUAACAAGGCAUGGGUAGCGGAAGCUGCUCAUGGAUUCAUU
rnacentral:ncRNA from 1 species